rnacentral:rRNA from 1 species
GACGAACGCUGGCGGCGUGCUUAACACAUGCAAGUCGAACGAAGAGCGACGGAAGCUUGCUUCUAUCAAUCUUAGUGGCGAACGGGUGAGUAACGCGUAAUCAACCUGCCCUUCAGAGGGGGACAACAGUUGGAAACGACUGCUAAUACCGCAUACGAUCUAACCUCGGCAUCGAGGAUAGAUGAAAGGUGGCCUCUACAUGUAAGCUAUCACUGAAGGAGGGGAUUGCGUCUGAUUUGCUAGUUGGAGGGGUAACGGCCCACCAAGGCGAUGAUCAGUAGCCGGUCUGAGAGGAUGAACGGCCACAUUGGGACUGAGACACGGCCCAGACUCCUACGGGAGGCAGCAGUGGGGAAUCUUCCGCAAUGGACGAAAGUCUGACGGAGCAACGCCGCGUGAGUGAUGACGGCCUUCGGGUUGUAAAGCUCUGUUAAUCGGGACGAAAGGCCUUCUUGCGAAUAGUGAGAAGGAUUGACGGUACCGGAAGAGAAAGCCACGGCUAACUACGUG